UACGAAGGGGGCUAGCGUUGCUCGGAAUUACUGGGCGUAAAGGGCGCGUAGGCGGCCUUCUAAGUCAGACGUGAAAUCCCCCGGCUUAACCUGGGAACUGCGUCUGAUACUGGGAGGCUUGAGUAUGGAAGAGGGUCGCGGAAUUCCCGGUGUAGAGGUGAAAUUCGUAGAUAUCGGGAAGAACACCCGUGGCUAAGGCGGCUCUCUAGUACGGUACUGACGCUGAGACGCGAAAGCGUGGGGAGCGAACAGG
rnacentral:rRNA from 1 species